rnacentral:rRNA from 1 species
GACGAACGCUGUUUGCGUGCUUAACACAUGCAAGUCGAACGGAAAGGCCCUGCUUUUGUGGGGUGCUCGAGUGGCGAACGGGUGAUUAACACGUGAGUAACCUGCCCUUGACUUUGGGAUAACUUCAGGAAACUGGGGCUAAUACCGGAUAGGAGCUCCUGCUGCAUGGUGGGGGUUGGAAAGUUUCGGCGGUUGGGGAUGGACUCGCGGCUUAUCAGCUUGUUGGUGGGGUAGUGGCUUACCAAGGCUUUGACGGGUAGCCGGCCUGAGAGGGUGACCGGCCACAUUGGGACUGAGAUACGGCCCAGACUCCUACGGGAGGCAGCAGUGGGGAAUAUUGCACAAUGGGCGGAAGCCUGAUGCAGCAACGCCGCGUGCGGGAUGACGGCCUUCGGGUUGUAAACCGCUUUCGCCUGUGACGAAGCGUGAGUGACGGUAAUGGGUAAAGAAGCACCGGCUAACUACGUGCCAGCAGCCGCGGUGAUACGUAGGGUGCGAGCGUUGUCCGGAUUUAUUGGGCGUAAAGGGCUCGUAGGUGGUUGAUCGCGUCGGAAGUGUAAUCUUGGGGCUUAACCCUGAGCGUGCUUUCGAUACGGGUUGACUUGAGGAAGGUAGGGGAGAAUGGAAUUCCUGGUGGAGCGGUGGAAUGCGCAGAUAUCAGGAGGAACACCAGUGGCGAAGGCGGUUCUCUGGGCCUUUCCUGACGCUGAGGAGCGAAAGCGUGGGGAGCGAACAGGCCUAGAUACCCUGGUAGUCCACGCUGUAAACGGUGGGUACUAGGUGUGGGGUCCAUUCCACGGGUUCCGUGCCGUAGCUAACGCUUUAAGUACCCCGCCUGGGGAGUACGGCCGCAAGGCUAAAACUCAAAGGAAUUGACGGGGCCCCGCACAAGCGGCGGAGCAUGCGGAUUAAUUCGAUGCAACGCGUAGAACCUUACCUGGGUUUGACAUGGAUCGGGAGUGCUCAGAGAUGGGUGUGCCUCUUUUGGGGUCGGUUCACAGGUGGUGCAUGGCUGUCGUCAGCUCGUGUCGUGAGAUGUUGGGUUAAGUCCCGCAACGAGCGCAACCCUUGUUCACUGUUGCCAGCACGUUAUGGUGGGGACUCAGUGGAGACCGCCGGGGUCAACUCGGAGGAAGGUGGGGAUGACGUCAAGUCAUCAUGCCCCUUAUGUCCGGGGCUUCACGCAUGCUACAAUGGCUGGUACAGAGAGUGGCGAGCCUGUGAGGGUGAGCGAAUCUCGGAAAGCCGGUCUCAGUUCGGAUUGGGGUCUGCAACUCGACCUCAUGAAGUCGGAGUCGCUAGUAAUCGCAGAUCAGCAACGCUGCGGUGAAUACGUUCCCGGGGCU